rnacentral:rRNA from 1 species
AACGAACGCUGGCGGCAUGCCUAACACAUGCAAGUCGAACGAAGCCUUCGGGCUUAGUGGCGCACGGGUGCGUAACACGUGGGAAUCUGCCCUUCGGUUCGGAAUAACAGUUAGAAAUGACUGCUAAUACCGGAUGAUGACGUAAGUCCAAAGAUUUAUCGCCGAAGGAUGAGCCCGCGUAGGAUUAGGUAGUUGGUAGGGUAAUGGCCUACCAAGCCGACGAUCCUUAGCUGGUCUGAGAGGAUGAUCAGCCACACUGGGACUGAGACACGGCCCAGACUCCUACGGGAGGCAGCAGUGGGGAAUAUUGGACAAUGGGCGAAAGCCUGAUCCAGCAAUGCCGCGUGAGUGAUGAAGGCCUUAGGGUUGUAAAGCUCUUUUACCAGGGAUGAUAAUGACAGUACCUGGAGAAUAAGCUCCGGCUAACUCCGUGCCAGCAGCCGCGGUAAAGUACAGUGU